CUUGACCGCUCUCCCCCGCUUCCUGCCGCAGCCUAAGAUGGCGGCGGAGGUGGACUUCGGGGAUCGCGAGCUCUUCGAGCAGCUGGACGGGGACGAGGCGGCGGCCCCGACGGCGCAGCCGCUUCAUACCCGCUUCGAGGAGGAUGAGGAGCUGGAGGAGGCCGGGGAGACGCUGCGGGAGCGGCUGAGGGACUCCGAGGAGACGGUGCGGCAGCUGCGGUCCGAGAAUCAAGAACUUAGAAGAAAACUGAAGAUUCUGACACGACCAAGUGGACUUUCAGUGGACAGUUCUAAGUUAGAUGGACCUUUGUUACAGAUUUUAUUUAUGAACAACGUUAUUUCAAAGCAGUAUCAUCAAGAAAUUGAGGAUUUUAUUUCUAGUUUAGCUCAAAAAUAUGAGGAGCAACAGAGAGCUGAACCAGAAAGGACCCACUUCAAUGUUAAGCCUCAGCCAUCCAGUAUCCUGUUGGAAGAGGACCAUAAAGUGACAAGCUCUAAUACAAUAAAAAAAAUUAAGGAAGCUUUCAGUGUUGUAGGAAGUGUUCUGUAUUUUACCAAUUUUUGUCUUGAUAAACUGGGACAACCUAUAUUAAAUGAAAAUCCACAGCUGACAGAAGGAUGGGAAAUACCCAAAUACCAGCAAGUUUUCAGCCAUAUUCUCUCUCUGGAUGGACAAGAAAUACAAGUAAAAGCAAAAAGGCCAAAACCUCAUUGUUUCAAUUGUGGUUCUGAAGAGCAUCAGAUGAAAGAUUGUCCAAAGCCACGGAAUGCUACCCGUAUAAGUGAGAAAAGAAGAGAGUUCAUGGAAGCCUGUGGUGAAGCAAGUAACCAGAACUUUCAGCAACGUUAUCAUGCAGACGAAGUAGAAGAGAGGUUUGGGAAGUUUAAACCAGGAAUAAUAAGUGAAGAACUUCAAGAUGCGCUUGGUGUCACAGAUAAGAGUCUUCCUCCAUUUAUAUAUCGCAUGCGCCAGUUGGGUUACCCACCAGGUUGGCUCAAAGAGGCUGAACUGGAGGAUUCAGGACUUGCACUUUAUGAUGGAAAAGAUGCUACUGGUGGUGAAACAGAAGAUGAAAGAUCCUAUCAACAAAACAAGUGUGUCACUUACGAUGUCUCUAAGUUAAUAAACUAUCCGGGCUUUAAUAUGUCUGCUCCAAGUGGGAUCUCUGAUGAAUGGAGGAUAUUUGGUUCCAUACCCAUGCAGCCAUCUCAACAGAAGGACGUUUUUGCUAGCUACCUUUCUAAUUUUCAGGCGCCAAGUCCAAAAUCUAGCAAUAAAAGGUCUGCAUAUCCAUCAAGUUCUCACAAUUCAAAGAAGGUAAAAGGAGACAAUUCAGCAGUAUCAGUAGCUGACAUGGACAUGGAUUCCGAUUUGGAAAUGCCACACAGUUCUCUAUCUUAUGACAGUUUUCAGUUCCAACCUCCACUGCCACCUGGGUCUCCAUCGAUUGCAACUCCGCCCCCACUGCCACGAGGAACUCCUCCACGUACUCCACCCAACUUCACAUCCCCUCUUCCUCCAGCGCCUACUGCCUCUCUUCGCAGGAAUACUCCAGCAUCAACUCCUUCCAGUGAUUCUGCUCAGCCAAGAGUGGGGGAUUCAGCCAUGGAUGAAGAUACUUUGACCCUAGAAGAACUUGAGGAGCAGCAGCGAUUGAUUUGGGCUGCACUUGAGCAGGCAGACAGUACAAAUAGUGACUCUGAUAUACCUGCUGAUACACCUUUAACUGGAAACUCUGUUGCAUCAUCACCAUCUAGGAAUGAACUGGACAUUAUUCCAGAAGGAAGAACAUCUGAGAAGCUGGUUGCAGUGGAAAUUGGGAUAUCAGAUACUAGUAUGCAGAUAUCCAGAACUGAACAUUCUAAAAGUGACCCUAAUUCAGGGGAUGGAUUAUCUGAUCUAAAGGAAGAUGACACUGAUCAUGUGGAUUCUGAAGGCACGCUGGAGAACAUCACUACAGGCUCAAAAUGUGAGAUUAACAAUGGAGGAAAUGAAAGUGUUACUCAUGUGGUCACGAGUGCUGAAUCAUCUACAAAAAAUUCAAAUCCUGUUCCUGACAUGAGCAAGUUUGCGGCAGGAAUAACACCAUUUGAGUUUGAAAAUAUGGCAGAAUCAACUGGUGUUUAUCUUCGAAUACGAAGUGUAUUAAAGAAUUCCCCAAGAAACCAGCAAAAAAACAAAAAGGCUUCAGAUUAACUUGUCUUCCUUUAAGGUUUUAUGGUGCCCCCAAAAGAAACUUAAAGUAUCUACCAAAUUGGAUAAUCUCUCAUGUGCCCUUUUGUGAAGAACAUCUGAGUAGUUAAGAGUGGACUAAUAUAGUUCUUCUGCAUUCUUCCCUAGUGUUUUUUUGUUUUUUGUUUUUUUUAAGUUCGUGCAGGGCUUCCAUUUGACCAGGACCAGUGUUGACCAUUCAAUACAUGAGAACUUGACUAAAUCAAAACCUUCCACUAAGGGGUGAAAGGACUGUUGAUUUAUUUGUUCAGCAUAUUUUACACUCUGUGAUACAUGAACCUCUUAAAACAGACACUGCCGCAGAAGAAAAUACACUUUUUGGUCGCAUCAAGAAUUUUAUUGAAGUUAAAAUUAGUCUGAAAAUGAGGUAAGCAAACAAAUGGGGAUCAUUUAAUAGCAUCUGUUUUUCACCCAAAAUUAUGCUGUCUCAAAUACUGUGCAAAACUUGGUAGACUUUGCUUGCUGUAGAUCUGCAAUAAGGGAGGCAUGGAUUUGGAUUGGUUUUUACUUGUCUGCUGAAGCAGGAAAGGAUUCAUUUUAGGCAAGUGAAGAAUGGGGACUGGUGGUGGUGGUGGUGUUUUUUUUUUUAUUUUUAUUUUUUUCGCCCCCAAAGGAUGACUCCCUAUGUAACUUUUGUUCUAGCUAUGCUGUGAGAGUAGCUCCUGAUUCUGGAUUGGCUUACCAAGGUCACUAGUUCUGGGAGCGCUCUUUCUUACUGUUUACCCAAUGAAGUGAAUGGCAUUUUACAAAACAUGUUAGAGGAAAUCUGAGACUCACCUGGCCUAACUUCAGUGUAGUGUCUGCCCCAGAUAGUUUAUUAUUGCAGACAAAUUAUAUAUGCAACAACAGUUACAAUACAAGAAGGACUGGAGAGAUCACUGAUGCCUAAUGUAGGAAAAGCUUAUUGAAAACAAUUCUGUAAUCUUCUACUCACCUUUGCUGAGAUUAGAUUCCCCAAGUCUGUUAGCUUAUUACAGGAGCCUCUUUCACAAAUAAAAUGUUUAUCUAAAUCUGCUUUACACGCCAGCAUGUUUUUACACAAGUCCCCUUUCUUCCCUCCCUCCUGUUUUGUCAUCUGUUCAUUGGACUUUAUACUACAUAACUACACGCACACACUAACUGUGGUCCUGUUACUUGUGUUUGCAAGAUUACGUAACACAGUAUUCAGCUGGAUCAGUCAAAAGAUGUCCCAUGCACAAGUCAUGGAGACUACAAGGAGGCAAUAAAUACAAAUGAGAGCCAGAACAGAAGUAAAAUGGAAAUAAAUGCAGCUGUCUUUCUUAAUUAGUAUCUAUAGUAACUCGAUAAAACAAUAUUUAAUGGAUAAUAAAUUUGCACGAGAGCCUUCCUUCACUGAACAGAGUCCUGCUAUGUACAGAAGGAGGAAACAAUAGGAAUCCCAGUAAGUGCACAGGUGAAACUGAAAUUUGAGAAGAGCCAGAAACUGAGUGCAAACUGGGAACAAGCAACUGAAGAAGUGAACAGGAGCAUAAAGGCCAAAUUUCCUGUGCUACAUAUUGCAAGCAUAGCUUAUUUCUCUGCUUGACAGAAUAUUUUCUCUUGUGUGCCUCUAUGCUGCUGCUGCUUGAUGAAAGUCCAUGGGGACUGAAAUCUUCAUCUUGCUAGAAAGCCAUUCUCUGUGUUCGUUCCUUAGUGCAAUAAAAGUCAAAUUUUGGCAUGUGUUCUGUACACUGCAACUUCUAGAAGAGAAAAUGGGCAUUUGCCAUAAAGUAACACUAUCCUUUAUACACUAGAGGAAUAUUGCACUUUGUUUUUGCAUAAAGUCACUUGUAAACUGACUUUGUAUUUUAUUUAUAAUAAACAUGUGAACAGUUUUAUUUAUAUCAUGAGAUCCUAUAGGAUGUUUAUCAUAAGAGAGCCUCAGUACAAGUAAACUCCACUUGUAUGUAUAUUUGGUACCAACAGUGAGGAAAAACAUUAAGCAUGCAAAAAUAGAAGGAUGAACACACGCCAAUCGUGUUUGGAUUGAUUGUAGAGAUAACUGAAAACUUAGCAACUAAGCUUUACUAUGAAAUAUAGCUUGGGUCAGAAGCACUGUUUGUUUAUUACAUCCCUAGCCAUAACCAAGGACGUAAGAUCUUAAUAUCUGUACAACAUCUAGCACAUUGCAGUCUGUAGAUAUUACUGUAAUAUAAAUACUAGAUAUAAGUAGCAACAAUAGGGCUUAUUUCCUACCUUUUUUGUACACUAAAACCUCUAGGGGGAGAGAGACUAUCUUUCACUACAUGCUAGAAGGGCAGUGAGGAAAUGCACACAUUGUAGGAGGGCAGCCAGUUGCAAAAUUGAGAAUGAUAGAUAUAUCACACACACACACUACUUUUUAUAACUGAAAAAUGAAUCUAAUUAAAUUGAGGACUGGAUUUCUAAGGAGAGUAUGCCCAAAAAUGUGUUUUAAAAAAUGUUUUCUACUGCUGUUUUGAAAGCUCUAAUUGAUUUAGAGGCUGCACAAAGAUGAGAAAAUGGAAGGAAGAGCAGUGUCACUUUCCCACAUUCACUGAAGGAACAGAUCCUCUAGGACUGAAAUAGGCUUAAUUUAUUGACAUUUUACUAUAUGGUUACGAUGCUAGAAGUUCUGUUCUAGCUGCAUGUCACUGGGAUAUCCAGUGAUUCAAUGUUAAGAGGGUAGGAAAAAGUGCACAGAGUGCCUCAGACCAUACAGCUAAACUAUAGUAGAGCUGCUAUUAGAAUCUAGGAGUUCCUGGCUUCCAGUCCUGUGUCUAGUCCAUAUGGCCACUCUUGCCAAUGCUUUACAAGUCAAAACAAAGUACAUAGCUAAAGACUGGAUAGGUCUAUCUGCAAUGAAUGCAUAUGUAAUUCAAUCUAUUUAAGGCUUGAAAGUGAAUAAUCCACAUUGAUACUCGAGUCCAUUUCUAUGCAUCAAUCACUUUUAGAAGUUGCCAAAUAGUAGCUUUUAAUAUGUAUAUUCUAUAUAUAAUAUAGAAUGCUGUGAUAUGGUUCGAAUGAUGUCAGGGUGGUCCCUCCUAACUCUCCAUUCUGUUCUCCAGCUGUUCCCUUUCCAGGGGUAAAUACAAUAAAGCUCUUGUUUCCUGUAGGAUGGUUGUGCUCUUAAUGGAAUGAGAGUUCAACAAGAACUACAUCUAAAAUGAUUGCACAUUUUGUUAUAGUUGGAGGCUUUUUAAACUAUGUAUUACCCAAUUCUUGUUUCAUGAGCUAGGGAUUACCAUUUUAGCUUGCUUUCUUUUCCUCCAAGUAUUAAGCUAUUCUCUAUAGUUUACUUGUAUAUAUUUCAUCAUUUCAUGCUGUUAUACUUCUUGCAUUUUACUCAUUUUGGCUAGUAAAACCUUCAAAUAAGGUAACAUAUCUUCCAAUCACUACUUCUUGCUUUAUAAUUCCUAUGCAUUAGUACAGUUGUUUUUUUACUUUGUAGAGCUGCAGCAUAUGCAUUUGAAUUGUGAUUUAAAACAUAGAACUACAGCAGUUGUAUAUAGAAUAAGAACUGUUAAAUGAC